GUGCUCGCUUCGGCAGCACAUACACCAAAAUUGGAACGAAACAGAGAAGAUUAGCAUGGCCCCUGCGCAAGGAUGACACACAAAUUCGUGAAGAAUUCCAUAUUUCU
rnacentral:snRNA from 1 species